AUGACAAUGAGUUAGAAAAAAUCUUCGGUUGCGCACAGAAAUAACCCUGGAACUACUGCUGUGCUGUCUCUACUGACAUGCUGCUGGAUCCAACACUUAUGCAUAUACCAUGGAUCUAAUAAAUCAAAAUUAAGUCCAGUUUGUAUUCAGACUAACAAGCAGAACGUAGAUGAUGAUGAUGAUGAUGAUGAUGAUGAUAUGCUGAAUAAGGACCUAAAACGGAAAUGCCUGCGUUUGAGGAUUCACCAGCGGAAGAAGCUCGUUUUGUUGCUCGAUGCAUCCUGUCAGUAGGCAUGGUUGGCUCAAUGUUAUGUGUGGCUGAUGUUAAAUUGUGACAUCAGAAACCUUUAUGCAAAAAAGGCGACUAAGUCUGAACCAUACAAAACAGUUUGCCAUGGUAAUGUAGCCAUGGAAAAAAUCACCCACCCACAAACAGAAGAAAUCAGCAACAAGAAUAAAAUUUCUGGGGUAUA